rnacentral:rRNA from 1 species
UUUAUUACAUUUAAAUAUUUUAGUACGAAAGGACCAAAUAUUUGAUAUAUUAAUAUUUAUUUUUUGAAUAUUAUUAAAAUUA